CAAUAUUUGAAUGUCCUGGACAUUUAGUGAACAUUCGGUGAACAUCUGAUUAAAUUAUUCCUGGAAUGUUACCAUAAGACAUUCUGUGAACAUACUACCAAUGUUUCUAUAUGUUCAUUUUCAAAUUCACGGCGCAUGUAUUUGUGCAUGGUGCUUAGAGAGGGCAUCACGUGACUAAAAACGACCAAUGACCUCACUUCGGACUUCGGCGCUUCGGUCAUCUUGGCAUGCAUCUUGGCUUGGCCACCUUGCCGUGCGUGAUCGUUGUUUGUUUUUAUUUGUGCUUUUUAAGAAUUUUUUUUUAGUUCGGAUACUUUUAUAAUAACUUUAAUAGUAUUAUUAACAUAGUGCAUAAAAUCAGUUGGAGUAGCAGAAGCAAUGUAGAUAAAAAAUCUGCAGGAAUAACGUUUCAAAGCUUUCCAGAAGAUCCUGCGAAGAAGGCAUGAAGUAUUGAUCAGAUUUGUUAAUAGAGCAGUAUGUUCAAAACAUUUUUUAGAAAAAGAUAUUGACAGAACUUCACUUUCAACUGUUCCUUGAGAGACUGUGCUGUUCCAAUAGCUUAUAUCACACAGAAUCAGCUGAGAGAAGUGGUCUACAAAAAACCAGGAAGGAAAUGGAAUAUGUGGCUAUGAAAGGCAAAAGAAGGGUUUACAAAGCAAAUGUGACACAUUUUUUAUAGGAAUAUCAGUAAAUUACAUUAAAAAAAUGUAUGAAAAGAUUUUUUGCAAUAAAAAUGUUUAUAUUUA
rnacentral:lncRNA from 1 species